GGCAUUACAUCGAACGUUGAUUAAUUUAGUGACGGUGGCCGGGAGGCCAGACAGGAAUCUUGCCAAUUGGCCACUAAUAAACUAGCCAUCUGGGCGUGAUCAUUGAAUGCUUCUCCUCGUAGCAAGGAUACUCAGGGAGGCAAGAGAAUGGAGCAGAGUGAAAGAUGUGAUGUGCCUGAGCAGAAGAACGGCAGAGAAGCAGUCAAACGCGGAAAAGCCUGAAACUUCCGAUUGCGUGUGUGGGUGGAUUAUGAAAAGGAAAAAGAAACAGUCUUGAAGGGUUUGGUUCCUGGAAUGUCCCUCCUGCAGCGGACUCUACUUUUUGUGUCAUAGAGUAAGGG
rnacentral:sRNA from 1 species